GACGAACGCUGGCGGCGUGCUUAACACAUGCAAGCCGAACGGUAAGGCCCUUCUUUUGUGGGGUGCUCGAGUGGCGAACGGGUGAGUAACACGUAAGUUACCUUCCCUUGACUUUGGGACUUCUUCAGGAAACUUGGGCUCCUACUGGUAUGGUGCUCCUGCUGCAUGGUGGGGGAUGACAAGUUUGGGCGGAGGGGGAUGGGCUCGCGGUUUAUUAGCUGGUGGGUGAGGUAGUGGCUUAGCAAGGCAUCGACGGGUAGCCGGCCUGAGAGGGUGACCGGCAACAUUAGGACUGAGCUACGGCCCAGAGUCCUACGGGAGGCAGCAGUGGGGAAUAGUGCCCGAUGGGCCGAAGCCGGAUGCAGCAACGCCGCGUGAGGGAUGACGGCCUUCGGGUUGUAAACCGCUUUCGCACGUGACGGAGCGUGAGUGACGGUAAUGGGUAAAGAAGCACCGGCUAACUACGUG
rnacentral:rRNA from 1 species